rnacentral:rRNA from 1 species
UUGCUGGGCUGGAUGAGUGGCGAACGGGUGAGUAACACGUGAGUAACCUGCCCUCUUCUUUGGGAUAACGGUCGGAAACGGCUGCUAAUACCGGGUAUUCACUGUCCUUCGCGUGGGGGGUGGUGGAAAGGUUUUUUCUGGUGGGGGAUGGGCUCGCGGCCUAUCAGCUUGUUGGUGGGGUGAUGGCUUACCAAGGCUUUGACGGGUAACCGGCCUGAGAGGGUGACCGGUCACAUUGGGACUGAGAUACGGCCCAGACUCCUACGGGAGGCAGCAGUGGGGAAUAUUGCACAAUGGGCGAAAGCCUGAUGCAGCGACGCCGCGUGAGGGAUGAAGGCCUUCGGGUUGUAAACCUCUUUCGCUCAUGGUCAAGCCGCAACUCAAGGUUGUGGUGAGGGUAGUGGGUAAAGAAGCACCGGCUAACUACGUGCCAGCAGCCGCGGUAAUACGUAGGGUGCGAGCGUUGUCCGGAAUUAUUGGGCGUAAGGGGCUUGUAGGCGGUUUGUCGCGUCUGCCGUGAAAUCCUCUGGCUUAACUGGGGGCGUGCGGUGGGUACGGGCAGACUUGAGUGCGGUAGGGGAGACUGGAACUCCUGGUGUAGCGGUGGAAUGCGCAGAUAUCAGGAAGAACACCGGUGGCGAAGGCGGGUCUCUGGGCCGUUACUGACGCUGAGGAGCGAAAGCGUGGGGAGCGAACAGGAUUAGAUACCCUGGUAGUCCACGCUGUAAACGUUGGGCACUAGGUGUGGGGGCCACCCGUG